rnacentral:rRNA from 1 species
CACGUAGGGGGCGAGCGUUGUCCGGAUUUAUUGGGCGUAAAGAGCUCGUAGGCGGCUUGGCAAGUCGGGUGUGAAACCUCCAGGCUCAACCUGGAGACGCCACUCGAUACUGCCAUGGCUAGAGUCCGGUAGGGGACCACGGAAUUCCUGGUGUAGCGGUGAAAUGCGCAGAUAUCAGGAGGAACGCCGGUGGCGAAGGCGGUGGUCUGGGCCGGCACUGACGCUGAGGAGCGAAAGCGUGGGUAGCAAACAGG